CAGGGACAGUCGUGGUGCAGCUGGAGGAGAAGUGCUUAGUAGCAGAACAGCUAGGAGGAGGACGAGCAGAGCAAGAAGAAGCGGGAGAUCGGAAGAGAACACC